rnacentral:misc_RNA from 1 species
UCUCCGUAGGUGAACCUGCGGAGGGAUCAUUACAAGUGACCCCGGUCUUACCACCGGGAUGUCCAUAACCUUUUGUUGUCCGACUCUGUUGCCUCCGGGGCGACCCUGCCUUCGGGCGGGGGCUCCGGGUGGACACUUCAAACUCUUGCGUAACUUUGCAGUCUGAGUAAACUUAAUUAAUAAAUUAAAACUUUUAACAACGGAUCUCUUGGUUCUG